rnacentral:rRNA from 1 species
AAAUCCCCGGGCUCAACCUGGGAACUGCAUCUGAUACUGGCAAGCUUGAGUCUCGUAGAGGGGGGUAGAAUUCCAGGUGUAGCGGUGAAAUGCGUAGAGAUCUGGAGGAAUACCGGUGGCGAAGGCGGCCCCCUGGACGAAGACUGACGCUCAGGUGCGAAAGCGUGGGGAGCAAACAGGAUUAGAUACCCUGGUAGUCCACGCCGUAAACGAUGUCGACUUGGAGGUUGUGCCCUUGAGGCGUGGCUUCCGGAGCUAACGCGUUAAGUCGACCGCCUGGGGAGUACGGCCGCAAGGUUAAAACUCAAAUGAAUUGACGGGGGCCCGCACAAGCGGUGGAGCAUGUGGUUUAAUUCGAUGCAACGCGAAGAACC